rnacentral:rRNA from 1 species
UACGUAGGGGGCGAGCGUUGUCCGGAAUUACUGGGCGUAAAGGGCUUGUAGGUGGUUUGUCGCGUUGUACGUGAAAUCUCACGGCUUAACUGUGAGCGUGCGGGCGAUACGGGCAGACUAGAGUACUGCAGGGGAGACUGGAAUUCCUGGUGUAGCGGUGGAAUGCGCAGAUAUCAGGAGGAACACCGGUGGCGAAGGCGGGUCUCUGGGCAGUAACUGACGCUGAGAAGCGAAAGCGUGGGGAGCGAACAGG